CGAAACAAGAACUGAUACAUUUCAAUAAAUCACUCCAGCCAGGUGGUCACCAUGCUAGUGUACUGAGAAGCUGGGGUCACAAGGCAACCCUGUCCAUCAUUCAUCUUUAGAAACAAUGCCAACCUUGGAGUCCAUCCCAGCCUUCGUGCCAUAAUCGGAGGGAUGACCUACUUAACCAUGGAAAUAUUGGCUUCAUUCGAGUUAACAUUGCUGGUAAUAUGCAUUUUAGAGCAAGGCCAAGCCAGAUGGAAAUGGCAUGCUGGAGGUGUGUAUGCCUGUACCUACCUGCUCUGCUGUUGUUCUACCCUAGAUCCCAACUCAGCAUCUAGGCCUUCUUACUUUCCUAAGGUAUCUGAUAGACAUAUUCAAGCGGAAUUUAAGCUUUCUUAGGAUCAGCAAA
rnacentral:lncRNA from 1 species